rnacentral:misc_RNA from 1 species
GAAAUGCGAUAAGUAAUGUGAAUUGCAGAAUUCAGUGAAUCAUCGAAUCUUUGAACGCACCUUGCGCCCCUUGGUAUUCCAUGGGGCAUGCCUGUUCGAGCGUCAUUUGUACCCUCAAGCUCUGCUUGGUGUUGGGUGUUUGUCCCCGUCUCCGCGCGUGGACUCGCCCCAAAGUGAUUGGCAGCCGGCGUACUGGUCCCGGAGCGCAGCACAUGUCGCGCAAACGAGUGCCUUGGUACGGCGGCGUCCAUAAGCCCCUCUCUCACGCUCUUGACCUCGGAUCAGGUAGGGAUACCCGCUGAACUUAAGC